rnacentral:rRNA from 1 species
CCUACGGGAGGCUGCAGUGGGGAAUACUGCACAAUGGGCGCAAGCCUGAUGCAGCCAUGCCGCGUGUGUGAAGAAGGCCUUCGGGUUGUAAAGCACUUUCAGCGGGGAGGAAGGCGGUGAGGUUAAUAACCUCAUCGAUUGACGUUACCCGCAGAAGAAGCACCGGCUAACUCCGUGCCAGCAGCCGCGGUAAUACGGAGGGUGCAAGCGUUAAUCGGAAUUACUGGGCGUAAAGCGCACGCAGGCGGUCUGUCAAGUCGGAUGUGAAAUCCCCGGGCUCAACCUGGGAACUGCAUUCGAAACUGGCAGGCUAGAGUCUUGUAGAGGGGGGUAGAAUUCCAGGUGUAGCGGUGAAAUGCGUAGAGAUCUGGAGGAAUACCGGUGGCGAAGGCGGCCCCCUGGACAAAGACUGACGCUCAGGUGCGAAAGCGUGGGGAGCAAACAGGAUUAGAUACCCGAGUAGUC